rnacentral:rRNA from 1 species
UACGGGGGGGGCAAGCGUUGUUCGGAAUUACUGGGCGUAAAGGGCUCGUAGGUGGCCCCAUAAGUCAGACGUGAAAUCCCUCGGCUCAACCGAGGAGCUGCGUCUGAGACUGUGGGGCUUGAAUCCGGGAGAGGGAUGCGGAAUUCCAGGUGUAGCGGUGAAAUGCGUAGAUAUCUGGAGGAACACCGGUGGCGAAGGCGGCAUCCUGGACCGGUAUUGACACUGAUGAGCGAAAGCCAGGGGAGCAAACGGG